UUUCAGGCUAUACAGGUAGCAAAGAUAUGGUCAUGUUUAAUCCUCCAAAAUCCCAAUUGUGUGUAUUUGCACUUUAGGCGAGAUUAGUUUAUUCCGUAAGAUAGCCAGUUCUGAGCAGGGACUUGAGUGAACAAGAGGCAGAGGAUGACACAUUGAUGAAAGAAAGGAGAGAAAGGGAUGGUAAAGAAUGUGUCUUACAUGGAGGUAGUGCUUACAUGACCUGAGGGAUGACAUCAUGGGGGGUGGGAAUGGAAUUUGGGAAACCCAGCUCUUGAAAAUUGUAGUCGCUUUAAAUGAUCCCUCGCUGCUAGUCAUCUCUCCUUAAGAUUGAAGGGGAGCAGAAUUUGCCACUCCAGAAUAUCUCUUUGGCAUAAGGAUUAUCUUGCUGCUUGAGUAGAUACUUCCAGAAGCUCUGAAAACUGAGUAGAAGUCACCCUUUUGUAAAAGACAUUUACAUUUAUAAGGAAAAUCUCCAUUUGUAAGGGUGUCUCCCUCUCUGUACCUCCCUCUUUGUAAGAGAGGGGACGACUAAAUCUACCCUCAUCCGUGGAGCAGGCAACUGAUUUAAAUCUGCGAGCAACUGGACCUUUAUUUACUGUGCUUUGCCAGCUCAUCUCCUAUUCCUGGUCUCCCUCCCGCACAUCUUUCCUCUUUAGCUGUCGAUGGUAUUUAAGGUGGUACCUUGGGCUGUUUCAGGGAGUUACUUAGUUUUCCAUAUAUAUAGGAGAAGCAUAUGAUAUUAAACUUCUUUUCGCUUUUCUCCGCUUAAUCUGUCUUGUAUUACAGAAAGGUCUCAGCCAAAACCCUGGAAGGGUAGAGGAAAAAAUUGUUUUUCCUUCUUCCUAAUAUAUUUUUCAUUCAUCGCAUUGGAAAUUCAAAAGUCCACCAUCUCGCUCUCUCUUUUUGGUUUGCACCAGGUGUGUGUCACUUCACGUACAGCAUUUAUGACUCAGAAACAGCUCUAUUUCAAGUCCGUGUUUGUGAACCCCAAUUUCCACUCAUUAUCAGAGAGCUGAAUUCUAAAUCAGAGACUGCGGAGGAAAGAUGUGCAACCUGAAUAAAACAUUUCCAGAAGAGCCUGAAUAAUGGUCC
rnacentral:lncRNA from 1 species